rnacentral:rRNA from 1 species
UACGGAGGGUGCAAGCGUUAUCCGGAUUUACUGGGUUUAAAGGGCGCGUAGGCGGUCAGCACAAGUCAGUUGUGAAAUCUCCGGGCUUAACUCGGAAAGGUCAACUGAUACUGUGCGACUAGAGUGCGGAAGGGGCAACUGGAAUUCUCGGUGUAGCGGUGAAAUGCGUAGAUAUCGAGAGGAACACCUGCGGCGAAGGCGGGUUGCUGGGCCGACACUGACGCUGAUGCGCGAAAGCCAGGGGAGCGAACGGG